rnacentral:lncRNA from 1 species
ACUUAAAGCAGCUCCUUAAAUAACUACAAUCCCCCACCUCUUUUUUUUUUUUUUUGGACCAUCUCAUACUCAUUAAUUCUUUAUAAAUAAAUAUAUGUAGAUAGACACAGACAUGCACAGAUGUUAAAGUAUCUAUUUAUAUAGAGAAGGAAACACCCUGUGGAGACUCUGGGACUUGCCAGGAAAAGCUACUCUCCGGGAAUCUAUUCUGCUCUAACUUCCUCUCCUGAGUCCAAUGGCUGGAAGCCUUCAUUCCUGACUUCCUUGCUCGCUCACUGUCUUUCUUCUCUUUUCAUAAUUUCCUCCUCCACCUCAAGAGGCUCCAGCCCUGAAGCCAUGCACGACUGUAGCUCCUAUCUUUGGGGUUUGGUCCAAUACCCCAUUUUUCAAAGGCAUGGGAGUCCGGCUCUUUUCAGAGUUGGUCUGGAUCACAGAGCUGUGAUGAGAAAAGUGCAUCAUGGGUGCGGAACUUCAGGGGGGAAGGAUAAUGAGUUUGUUGUGACGUGGUUAUUUUCUUAGAUCGUACAACCAACGUGGUAAUGCUGGCAUAAUAAUUCCCGGUUGCCAUUUUCUGACAUUUGAAAAGAUCUGAAGAUACGCCCCUUGGAUGCCUGCAGAGAAGCUCUGGGGCUUCAGUCAAUGACUCAGGGUAGCCACCGAACAUGAUGCUCGGGCAGUGGGUGCCACCUGGACUCCACUCUCCCCUCUCUCUGGGAUCAUAGAGUCCAAGGUGUUCUGUGGCCUCUCGGCCAAUCCCAGCAGCUCAGCGUGCAGAAGACCGAGGAGCCAUUGGUCAGUGUAGGAGGUGCCUGGAGUUUUGGAGAUGGGAUCCACAGGAAUUCAACACAACACGAAAUAAUCAACAAAUUCGGGGAAUGUUAAUCUGACCAUCACCAGUUACAAAUGAUGUUUCAUGCUACCUUCUAUUCCUGCCUUCAUAAAUCAAGCUCUAAAUCUCCAGGAAAAAAUGUGCUCAGGAUGGCCAGAGAAAUGUCCUUCCAACUGUGCAUGGAAAGCAAGGACAGCAAAGCCUUCCAGACCUGCCUGUGACAUGCACUGCACAUUCUAAAGAUGCCUAUGCAAUGGAAAACACCACUGUCUGCUCCAGCACAGCUGCCAUUCUUCCAUCUUAUCGACCUUAAUGCAACAACUCCUCACAGGCAGAGAUUUUAAAAUGUGUUCUUGGCAGAAGAGAGACUCAAAGAUGGGACAAAUGUGUCAUUUAAAUGCCUGUUAAAAUGGAAACAGACAUAGUAUAGUCAGAGGAUUGUGGCAGCUAAGAACAUAGUCUCUGGAGCAAAUCUGCAUGGGUGGCAAUGCCAAGCACAUGAGGUCCUAGUUGUAUGAACUUAGGAAAAGAAAAAGAGAACAUAUAUCCCCCUACCUUUUGAUUUCCAACAGUCUACUGAGAGGCCAAGAUUAUUUGCAGGGAAAGAAAAGGGGAAUGCCAUCCCCACCCUCUCGCAGCUACGUGCCAGUUCCAGAGCACCUGUUCCCCUCUACUUUGAAAAGGUCAAAAUGUUUUGCCAGUAACUCCCAAAUCAUCUACAGCCAAGGAGAAAAGUGUUUCAAGACAGAGGUGCUCAAUGGUAUCAAAUACUGCCAACAGACCAAGUAAUACAUGCAUUGAAGUGUCUACUGGAUCUAGCUAUAUGAUUCCACAGCUGUUUUAUAGUAACUCAGAGUUUGAAGAGAAAUUACUCCUGCAGUACCAGUUUCCAAAAUGCUUUGUAGCAUCUUCUCAAAAAACAAAUGGGAAGAAGCCAAUCAGAAAUAAGGAAUUUUUAAUUUAGGACACUUAGGCCAUACUGAAGCAAGGUGACAAAAUGAAUAGCUACAAUGUCUCGUGAAUCUUGGGUUUCCAUUCACCCUGGUAUUCAAGAGAAAUUCUUGCAUCAUGGAAGUUGCAGUUGGAUAGGACUUUCUCAGCUGAACACUGUCAUCUGCCAGAGCUUCAGGCAAGAACCCAGAACAGAUGAAACCCCAGACAUGACAAAAUAAGCCAAAGAAUACCAGGCCAAGGUGUGAAAGGCCAGAUGAGAACAAGCAGCGUACACGAUUCUGUUGCCAACAGAUCUCCCCUAACAGUGUCGUGCACCAAAUUUCCACAGUGAAUGUCAGGAAAAAAUGGCAAUUGAGGUGGGUGGUCAAAAGAGAAGCACAGUCUAUGAUGAAGUCACCCCAGAGAAGUCCUUUUUCCGUUUUCUCCUGAGAAAUUACCAGAAGAAAUUAAAAUCCU